GAAAUGCGAUAAGUAGUGUGAAUUGCAGAAUUCAGUGAAUCAUCGAAUCUUUGAACGCACAUUGCGCCCUUUGGUAUUCCAAAGGGCAUGCCUGUUCGAGCGUCAUUUGCACCCUCAAGCUUUGCUUGGUGUUGGGCGUCUUGUCUCUAGCUUUGCUGGAGACUCGCCUUAAAGUAAUUGGCAGCCGGCCUACUGGUUUCGGAGCGCAGCACAAGUCGCACUCUCUAUCAGCAAAGGUCUAGCAUCCAUUAAGCCUUUUUUCAACUUUUGACCUCGGAUCAGGUAGGGAUACCCGCUGAACUUAAGC
rnacentral:misc_RNA from 1 species